rnacentral:misc_RNA from 1 species
UGAUAUUAUUCGAUGAAGAACCAAUAACAAGCUAUAUAUUCGGUAUCUGUACGUCAGGAUUGCCCGCGUAUUUACAUACAAUAUGCGGAGAUACGUGGUACGAAAUCUAUACAGCGUAUGUCGCGUUGCUAUCUGGAGAGUAUCGCGGCGAGGAGCGCGCCGGCCAGCAGCUGCAACAGGACGCGUUGCCGUUCCGUUUGAAAU